ACCCUUUGUGAACAUACCUAUAACUGUUGCUUCGGCGGGUAGGGUCUCCGCGACCCUCCCGGCCUCCCGCCUCCGGGCGGGUCGGCGCCCGCCGGAGGAUAACCAAACUCUGAUUUAACGACGUUUCUUCUGAGUGGUACAAGCAAAUAAUCAAAACUUUUAACAACGGAUCUCUUGGUUCUGGCAUCGAUGAAGAACGCAGCGAAAUGCGAUAAGUAAUGUGAAUUGCAGAAUUCAGUGAAUCAUCGAAUCUUUGAACGCACAUUGCGCCCGCCAGCAUUCUGGCGGGCAUGCCUGUUCGAGCGUCAUUUCAACCCUCAAGCUCUGCUUGGUGUUGGGGCCCUACAGCUGAUGUAGGCCCUCAAAGGUAGUGGCGGACCCUCUCGGAGCCUCCUUUGCGUAGUAACUUUACGUCUCGCACUGGGAUCCGGAGGGACUCUUGCCGUAAAACCCCCAAUUUCCAAAGGUGACCUCGGAUCAGGUAGGAAUACCCGCUGAACUUA
rnacentral:rRNA from 1 species